rnacentral:rRNA from 1 species
CACGUAGGGCGCAAGCGUUGUCCGGAAUUAUUGGGCGUAAAGAGCUCGUAGGCGGUCUGUUGCGUCCGCUGUGAAAACUCGGGGCUUAACCCCGAGCCUGCAGUGGAUACGGGCAGACUAGAGGUAGGUAGGGGAGAAUGGAAUUCCCGGUGUAGCGGUGAAAUGCGCAGAUAUCGGGAGGAACACCGGUGGCGAAGGCGGCGCUCUGGGCUGGAACUGACGCUGAGGAGCGAAAGCGUGGGGAGCGAACAGG